rnacentral:rRNA from 1 species
GGGACACGUGGUAUCCUGUCUGAAUAUGGGGGGACCAUCCUCCAAGGCUAAAUACUCCUGACUGACCGAUAGUGAACCAGUACCGUGAGGGAAAGGCGAAAAGAACCCCGGCGAGGGGAGUGAAAAAGAACCUGAAACCGUGUACGUACAAGCAGUGGGAGCCUCUUAAUGGGGUGACUGCGUACCUUUUGUAUAAUGGGUCAGCGACUUAUAUUCUGUAGCAAGGUUAACCGAAUAGGGGAGCCGAAGGGAAACCGAGUCUUAACUGGGCGUUAAGUUGCAGGGUAUAGACCCGAAACCCGGUGAUCUAGCCAUGGGCAGGUUGAAGGUUGGGUAACACUAACUGGAGGACCGAACCGACUAAUGUUGAAAAAUUAGCGGAUGACUUGUGGCUGGGGGUGAAAGGCCAAUCAAACCGGGAGAUAGCUGGUUCUCCCCGAAAGCUAUUUAGGUAGCGCCUCGUGAAUUCAUCUCCGGGGGUAGAGCACUGUUUCGGCAAGGGGGUCAUCCCGACUUACCAACCCGAUGCAAACUGCGAAUACCGGAGAAUGUUAUCACGGGAGACACACGGCGGGUGCUAACGUCCGUCGUGAAGAGGGAAACAACCCAGACCGCCAGCUAAGGUCCCAAAGUCAUGGUUAAGUGGGAAACGAUGUGGGAAGGCCCAGACAGCCAGGAUGUUGGCUUAGAAGCAGCCAUCAUUUAAAGAAAGCGUAAUAGCUCACUGGUCGAGUCGGCCUGCGCGGAAGAUGUAACGGGGCUAAACCAUGCACCGAAGCUGCGGCAGCGACACUAUGUGUUGUUGGGUAGGGGAGCGUUCUGUAAGCCUGCGAAGGUGUGCUGUGAGGCAUGCUGGAGGUAUCAGAAGUGCGAAUGCUGACAUAAGUAACGAUAAAGCGGGUGAAAAGCCCGCUCGCCGGAAGACCAAGGGUUCCUGUCCAACGUUAAUCGGGGCAGGGUGAGUCGACCCCUAAGGCGAGGCCGAAAGGCGUAGUCGAUGGGAAACAGGUUAAUAUUCCUGUACUUGGUGUUACUGCGAAGGGGGGACGGAGAAGGCUAUGUUGGCCGGGCGACGGUUGUCCCGGUUUAAGCGUGUAGGCUGGUUUUCCAGGCAAAUCCGGAAAACCAAGGCUGAGGCGUGAUGACGAGGCACUACGGUGCUGAAGCGACAAAUGCCCUGCUUCCAGGAAAAGCCUCUAAGCAUCAGGUAACAUCAAAUCGUACCCCAAACCGACACAGGUGGUCAGGUAGAGAAUACCAAGGCGCUUGAGAGAACUCGGGUGAAGGAACUAGGCAAAAUGGUGCCGUAACUUCGGGAGAAGGCACGCUGAUAUGUAGGUGAAGCGACUUGCUCGUGGAGCUGAAAUCAGUCGAAGAUACCAGCUGGCUGCAACUGUUUAUUAAAAACACAGCACUGUGCAAACACGAAAGUGGACGUAUACGGUGUGACGCCUGCCCGGUGCCGGAAGGUUAAUUGAUGGGGUUAGCGGUAACGCGAAGCUCUUGAUCGAAGCCCCGGUAAACGGCGGCCGUAACUAUAACGGUCCUAAGGUAGCGAAAUUCCUUGUCGGGUAAGUUCCGACCUGCACGAAUGGCGUAAUGAUGGCCAGGCUGUCUCCACCCGAGACUCAGUGAAAUUGAACUCGCUGUGAAGAUGCAGUGUACCCGCGGCAAGACGGAAAGACCCCGUGAACCUUUACUAUAGCUUGACACUGAACAUUGAGCCUUGAUGUGUAGGAUAGGUGGGAGGCUUUGAAGUGUGGACGCCAGUCUGCAUGGAGCCGACCUUGAAAUACCACCCUUUAAUGUUUGAUGUUCUAACGUUGGCCCGUAAUCCGGGUUGCGGACAGUGUCUGGUGGGUAGUUUGACUGGGGCGGUCUCCUCCUAAAGAGUAACGGAGGAGCACGAAGGUUGGCUAAUCCUGGUCGGACAUCAGGAGGUUAGUGCAAUGGCAUAAGCCAGCUUGACUGCGAGCGUGACGGCGCGAGCAGGUGCGAAAGCAGGUCAUAGUGAUCCGGUGGUUCUGAAUGGAAGGGCCAUCGCUCAACGGAUAAAAGGUACUCCGGGGAUAACAGGCUGAUACCGCCCAAGAGUUCAUAUCGACGGCGGUGUUUGGCACCUCGAUGUCGGCUCAUCACAUCCUGGGGCUGAAGUAGGUCCCAAGGGUAUGGCUGUUCGCCAUUUAAAGUGGUACGCGAGCUGGGUUUAGAACGUCGUGAGACAGUUCGGUCCCUAUCUGCCGUGGGCGCUGGAGAACUGAGGGGGGCUGCUCCUAGUACGAGAGGACCGGAGUGGACGCAUCACUGGUGUUCGGGUUGUCAUGCCAAUGGCACUGCCCGGUAGCUAAAUGCGGAAGAGAUAAGUGCUGAAAGCAUCUAAGCACGAAACUUGCCCCGAGAUGAGUUCUCCCUGAGACUUAGAGUCUCCUGAAGGAACGUUGAAGACGACGACGUUGAUAGGCCGGGUGUGUAAGCGCAGCGAUGCGUUGAGCUAACCGGUACUAAUGAACCGUGAGGCUUAACCUUACAACGCCGAAG